GACCAGGGUUGGGCACCCCUGUUGUAACCAGUAACAUGACUGGAGCAGCAGCAUUCAGGGUUAAAUCACUCCCACGUGACUAACACCAGACCUGCACUAAGCCUGUCAGUAAUUAUAGCGAUGAGGCUGAACUCACAGGUCGGAUCCCAUUGCAUGUUGUUAAAACACUGAUGCAUUUAGCACAUACUAUACAUGUUUCCAUGCGUCAGCUCCAGAUAUGAAUGCAGUCCGACAGAUCUCAUUAACAUCUGAUCUUUUUACCUGCGGUCAUCUGUAAGUUUCUUUCCUGGUCCUGCUGACUUGAAUUUUAUAUCCUUCUUGAUGUCGUCGAAAAACUUCUUCAUUCUUAGCGAUAAACUAUGUGCAAAAAUUUUAUUUAAAAAA